ensembl:ncRNA lncRNA:CR45659 long non-coding RNA:CR45659
AUUCAAGAACAGUCUUCGUCGCGUCGGGAGUCGCCUCUUCUUCUCGCGACACAGAAACGAUGCCCGAUGCCGCAGCUAGAAAAUAGAUCACAAAAGGGUUAACAAAACUCUUCGAGGUCGGGAACACAGGCGAGCAAGCACACAGUCCUAAUGAAAAUUCAGGCGAACUUUCAAGGACUUUCAAAGGAUGCAGAAACUUCCUUUUCGCCAGCCGCGAUUUAAAGAUACAUUGCAGUUUAUCUACUUGAAACUAUUAACAGGCCUCAGGAUAAAACACUCUUCAUAGUAAAUUCCAAGGUAGCUUCCAAUACGAGAAGUUCACUAAUGGAGUUACACAUUGUUUUUUUGCACUAAGUCAAAUCUAAAUACAUUUUAAUCGUAUAUAUACCAUGGCUUAAAUACUUUGUUUUGCACUCCCAGCAAUCCGAAUCCGAAUAAGAGCGGACGGCAAACACUUCUGUUUAUGUCAUUCCGACACUAAGAAUAACUCGCAAUCAUUUUAUUUUUUGUCGAAAAAGCGAACAAUAUUUGUUUGUUUCGAACGCGAGAGCGGAGUUUUCUAAACUAAUUUUGUUAAUCAGAUGCGUCGGCCAGCGCAGCUAACUAGCGGCAAAAACAAAACCGCAAGCACCAGCCGCAACGACAACGACAACAACAGCGACAACGCCGACGCCAGCGUAAUAGAGCAAUAGGCAGGCAGGUGGUGGGCGGUGGAGGGGCACCCUGUGCGGUUUAGGGCUGAAACACGGGUAGUAUUUGCAUAAUCUACAUCAAAACACAACACGCAUCCCCCACUCGGUGGGGCGGAUGCUGCUCACUGGGCUUUUGGGGGCUGCGCUUAGACUUAGACUGGACACCCACUGGCGCGCAGACACACACGCACACACAUACACACUCACUCAUGUUGAGGGGACUUUCCCUUUUGGCAGGAAAUCAGGAGAAUCAAGUGGCGAGCCAAAGUUGUAAAGUGCUACUAACUCAGGCAAAAUAAAACUUAUGCGACUAAACCG